CUGCAUUUGACAACCCCCAACCUUGUGAACUGGGUGCUACAACAUAUUCUUUGGAUGAGCCCCAGUUCAUAGAAUCUUUGACGGAGCCCCAGCUUUGUGAAACUUGGGGUGAUUUAGGUUUACCCCGUUGCUGUUCUUUUUCAUUUUCACUGCUGCCUCCCGCAUUUGACAGCCCCCAACCUUGUGAACCUGCAGCUUCAAUAUGUUCUUUACACGAGCUCCAGUUCACAGAAUCUUUGGAGGAGCCCCAGCUAUGUGAAACUUGGGGUGAUUUAGGUUUAUCCCACUGCUGUUCUUUUUCAUUUUCACUGCUGCCUCCUGCAUUUGACAGGCCCCAACCUUGUGAACUUGGUGCUUCAACAUGUUCUUUAGACGAGCCCCAG
rnacentral:lncRNA from 1 species